rnacentral:tmRNA from 1 species
GGGGAUGCCAGGCAUCGACAGUCGCCUCUUUUUCUAAAUAUGCAAAACGCGCUUAACUAUCGCGUAAAACUGGUUAAAAAACACAAAUGUCGAAAAGACAAAAGCGUUUUCUUGGAAAGUUCCAAGUUUCGCUCCUGUUAUGGCCUAAUAAAAUAAAGCUAUAACCAUCUCUUGCUUGUGAGUCCUCAUAACUUGUAAGCGGUGUAAUAUUCUUGAGGAUAGGGUUCUCUUAUUCUUUCGGGGAGGGUCCAAAGCUAAAGAAAGAUCGUUUCGGUCGCUUUUAGUUCAAUUUUGAUGGCCGGAAUUAAAACAAUAAAUUGAAAUAUUUUUGUAGAAGUAUUUAGGAAAAACGAUUGGACAUGGGUUCAACUCCCAUCAUCUCCACA